AUUGAACGCUGGCGGCAGGCCUAACACAUGCAAGUCGAGCGGAGCGGAGGACGGGUGAAUAAUGCCUAGGAAUCUGCCUGGUAGUGGGGGAUAACGUCGGGAAACGGGCGCUAAUACCGCAUACUAGCAGAUGAGACUAGGUCGGAUUGGCUAGGUGGUGGGGUAAAGGCCUACCAAGGCGACGAUCCGUAACUGGUCUGAGAGGAUGAUCAGUCACACUGGAACUGAGACACGGUCCAGAUGCCUACGGGAGGCAGCAGGGGGGAAUAUGGGACAAUGGGCGAAAGCAGUACCCAGCCAGGCCGAGUGUGGGAAGAAGGUCUCCGGAUUGUAAAGCACUUUAAGGUGGGAGGCGUUACCAGCAGAAGAAGCACCGGCUAACUACGUGCCAGCAGCCGCGGUAAUUC
rnacentral:rRNA from 1 species